UGGGGAAUAUUGCACAAUGGGCGCAAGCCUGAUGCAGCCAUGCCGCGUGUAUGAAGAAGGCCUUCGGGUUGUAAAGUACUUUCAGCGGGGAGGAAGGGAGUAAAGUUAAUACCUUUGCUCAUUGACGUUACCCGCAGAAGAAGCACCGGCUAACUCCGUGCCAGCAGCCGCGGUAAUACGGAGGGUGCAAGUGUUAAUCGGAAUUACUGGGCGUAAAGCGCACGCAGGCGGUUUGUUAAGUCAGAUGUGAACUCCCCGGGCUCAACCUGGGAACUGCAUCUGAUACUGGCAAGCUUGAGUCUCGUAGAGGGGGGUAGAAUUCCAUGUGUAGCGGUGAAAUACGUAGAGAUGUGGAGGAAUACCGGUGGCGAAGGCGGCCCCCUGGACAAAGACUGACGCUCAGGUGCGAAAGCGUGGGGAGCAAACAGG
rnacentral:rRNA from 1 species